rnacentral:rRNA from 1 species
UACGUAGGGUGCAAGCGUUUAAUCGGAAUUACUGGGCGUAAAGCGUGCGCAGGCGGUUGUGCAAGACAGAUGUGAAAUCCCCGGGCUCAACCUGGGAACUGCAUUUGUGACUGCACGGCUAGAGUACGGCAGAGGGGGAUGGAAUUCCGCGUGUAGCAGUGAAAUGCGUAGAUAUGCGGAGGAACACCGAUGGCGAAGGCAAUCCCCUGGGCCUGUACUGACGCUCAUGCACGAAAGCGUGGGGAGCAAACAGG